GGCCGUGUGGUGUAGUGGUAGCAUACUUGCUUUGGGUUCUGAACUUAAGCUUGCAAGUGGUCCCAGGUUCAAGCCCUGGCUCGGCCC